rnacentral:snRNA from 1 species
GCUGAACCACAAGGCAUAUCCUGAAAUGGGAAAGAUACAGAGAACACUAGAAUGACACUUGUAGAAGAAUGAAAUGCAAAUUCAUGGAAAAUUUUUU